rnacentral:rRNA from 1 species
UACAGAGGUCUCAACCGUUGUUCGGAUUCAUUGGGCGUAAAGGGUGCGUAGGCGGUCGUGCAAGUCGGAUGUGAAAUCUCAGGGCUCAACCCUGAAACUGCAUUCGAUACUGCGUGGCUAGAGUGCUGGAGAGGAGACUGGAAUUUACGGUGUAGCAGUGAAAUGCGUAGAUAUCAGGAAGAACACCCGUGGCGAAGGCGGCUCUCUGGGACGGUACUGACGCUGAGACGCGAAAGCGUGGGGAGCGAACAGG